rnacentral:rRNA from 1 species
CACUUCGGUGGGGAUUAGUGGCGAACGGGUGAGUAACACGUGGGCAAUCUGCCCUGCACUCUGGGACAAGCCCUGGAAACGGGGUCUAAUACCGGAUACUGACCACCGCGGGCAUCCGUGGUGGUCGAAAGCUCCGGCGGUGCAGGAUGAGCCCGCGGCCUAUCAGCUUGUUGGUGAGGUAACGGCUCACCAAGGCGACGACGGGUAGCCGGCCUGAGAGGGCGACCGGCCACACUGGGACUGAGACACGGCCCAGACUCCUACGGGAGGCAGCAGUGGGGAAUAUUGCACAAUGGGCGCAAGCCUGAUGCAGCGACGCCGCGUGAGGGAUGACGGCCUUCGGGUUGUAAACCUCUUUCAGCAGGGAAGAAGCGAAAGUGACGGUACCUGCAGAAGAAGCGCCGGCUAACUACGUGCCAGCAGCCGCGGUAAUACGUAGGGCGCGAGCGUUGUCCGGAAUUAUUGGGCGUAAAGAGCUCGUAGGCGGCUUGUCGCGUCGGUUGUGAAAGCCCGGGGCUUAACCCCGGGUCUGCAGUCGAUACGGGCAGGCUAGAGUUCGGUAGGGGAGAUCGGAAUUCCUGGUGUAGCGGUGAAAUGCGCAGAUAUCAGGAGGAACACCGGUGGCGAAGGCGGAUCUCUGGGCCGAUACUGACGCUGAGGAGCGAAAGCGUGGGGAGCGAACAGGAUUAGAUACCCUGGUAGUCCACGCCGUAAACGGUGGGCACUAG